UACGGCCAUGUCAUUUUGAAAGACCGGUUCUCGUACGAUCAUUGAAGUUAAGCAACGUUGAGACUGGUUAGUACCUAGAUGGGGGACCGAUUUGGAAUAUAAGAUGCUGUAA
rnacentral:rRNA from 1 species